UCUGAAACGCUCUGAUGCAGUUUUAUGUUUUAUUUUCUAUCAAUUUUUUUAGAAUAAUUCUUCUCUUCUUCUCUAAUACAUAAUCAUUUCUCUCUUUCUGCAGAACUUAGGUUGAAGAUCAUGACAUUGGAGUCUACUCCUAUUUCACAGCUCAAUUCAUCUAAAAAGAAUGGAAAAUCAGAGUGCGAUCUCUCGGAUUUGGGACUACUAUCCCAAACAUGAACUUGAAGUUGUUGUCGCGAUGAAAACUAUCCUUGUGGACGAAAAGAUGUCAAUUGAAUUUCCUCAGUUUCUAUUCUUCAAAAAAACGUCUAGAAGUCAAAGCAUUGUCAACAACAAUUGAGUGGCUUAUUCUUAGGAAGACAAAAUAGGCAACGAAC